AAGGGGCCAAGAGAGCUGGAGGAAGCUGAGGUGGGAGUGGGCACACCUCUAAUGAGGGUGAGAGGACUCAACUCCCUCAGUAGCCACAUGCACAUUCCACUCCCAAGAGGGUAAAACACCAACCUGGCAAAGAUGCACUCAUCUCAAUGUCUCAGCACAACCCCUUGCCCCUGGGAAAGCAGUCCCGUCACUCCAGCAGCCACAGAGCUGAAGCCCAAGGACACAUUGCCAGGCGCAAGCACUUGCUUUCUUUUUCAGUUCUGCCUGGACUCCUGGCUCAACACAUCCAAGUCGGGGCUGCAACUCUGCUCGACAUUGCUGUUUCCAAACGCCAGCCUAUGACAUUUCACUUCCCAUAAGAUUACACCCAAUAAUUUCUGAUUUACAUUCCUAUGGAUUUUUUUUCCUUUUUUUUUUUUUAAAUUAAUGAAGCAAACUCAACGCAGAGCAGGGAUUUGAAAAGCACAGCUAGGAGCUUUUUUCUUUGCCACAAAGAAUGCCCUGAUUAUCCCACAAUAAAACAAGCCACUGCAGAAUGAGAAUAUAUCCAGCCAGGAAACUGGACGUGAGGAAAAGCAUCUGGACACAUACAGCCUGGCCUGGAACAGCUGCUCCCAUGGGGACUCACCUCUCUUGAAAAGAACCACCCUCCCCGUCCCCCGACAGCAGGUAAAAGAUUCAACGCAGCAGCCUUCACGAGCCAGAAGGAAAAACCAGUCAUUUUGAAAUCAACAUCCAAGGGAGGAUAGAAAGAACUCUGGAGUUUGGAAAUGACAACAACAGAUGAUCACACACACACACACACACCCCUGCUUCUCCGUCACAUGCUUUAUGUGACAUGGCAGCCUCCGCCAGCACCUCACGGCAGCUUUGAUGAUUUAAGGCAAAUGCAGUGCUCUUGAGAUCACACUGCUCUUAUCCACUUCAUCAACAAAGGUUAAGCGAACACCUACUGUGUGCCGCACAUUUCUCCUGGGCACUGGAGAGACAGCAAAGAGCAAAACUGAGCCCAUGCGCUCAAGAAGCCCACAUUUCAGUGGAGUAGAAAGACCCCCCACCCCAAAAAUAGAAACCAGAUAAAAGUUACAGUGUGUCAUAUGGUGAUAAUCACUGUGAGAAAAAUACAGCAGGGAAGGGAGAGGGGAGAAUUUGGAUGGGGUUGGUGUAAAUGUACGUCAACAGAGAAGCACUCGCUGGGAAGGUGACAUCUGAGGAUGUGGGGAAAGCCCUAAGGACACCUGGGGAGAGCUUCCUCCACAGAGGACUAGCCAGUGCCAAGGUCCCAAGGCUGGAGCAGCUCUAGACUCACAGCAGGCCUAUACCUCCAGACAAACCCCUGGGUGCCAGGCAGGGACCUCAGCAGCCCUGAAACACCCCUUCUGGACACCUCUACCCACAGCAGUGGGAGCCUGAGAAACAGGGCUGCCCGUGAGGACCCAGCACCUCCUGUCUGAUGACAGCCUAACCAAGGCUGUGCUGUCCAGCAUCAGUCCAAGGCUGAGAUGCUAGUCACUAGACCACCACCGCUGCCAAAGCACGCAGCAGUGUCCCCUGCGCACCACACUAUGGGCACGAUGACACAGGAACCAGUCACGAGCAGCCUUCCUCCGUCGUGGGACUCCUUCCUGCCUCCGCCACAUGAGCCAGCCAAGCACCUCAGCGCAAGACCAGUCUCAGGGACUCUCCCAGAUGGAGAUGUUUACAGGGUAGACUCAGUGCUUCGUGCUAUCUCUUCCCACAGGCAUAACUCACUAGCAUGGGUGUUAUUCUAAAAGGCUAAUUUUAAAAAGCAUCUUGAGAAGGAACUGAGCUGCACAAACAGCAUCUGACACCUCCAGGAUCUGGAAUACACUGCUGACCAGUGGUCAUGGGUGGCAGUGAGGGCUCCUUGAGGCAUCCCCAUCCAGCCUGCCAGCCCACAGGUCCUGUGGGUGAGUCAUUCCCUCCCAGCACACCUCUAUUGGACUUCUGGUUCCUCAACAGCUUCUGAAAUUUCAAUCUCAGGAGAGAAA